GACGAACGCUGGCGGCGUGCCUAAUACAUGCAAGUCGAACGCUUCUUUCCUCCCGAGUGCUUGCACUCAAUUGGAAAGAGGAGUGGCGGACGGGUGAGUAACACGUGGGUAACCUACCCAUCAGAGGGGGAUAACACUUGGAAACAGGUGCUAAUACCGCAUAACAGUUUAUGCCGCAUGGCAUAAGAGUGAAAGGCGCUUUCGGGUGUCGCUGAUGGAUGGACCCGCGGUGCAUUAGCUAGUUGGUGAGGUAACGGCUCACCAAGGCCACGACGCAUAGCCGACCUGAGAGGGUGAUCGGCCACACUGGGACUGAGACACGGCCCAGACUCCUACGGGAGGCAGCAGUAGGGAAUCUUCGGCAAUGGACGAAAGUCUGACCGAGCAACGCCGCGUGAGUGAAGAAGGUUUUCGGAUCGUAAAACUCUGUUGUUAGAGAAGAACAAGGACGUUAGUAACUGUACGUCCCCUGACGGUAUCUAACCAGAAAGCCACGGCUAACUACGUG
rnacentral:rRNA from 1 species